AUUGAACGCUGGCGGCAGGCCUAACACAUGCAAGUCGAGCGGAUGAAGGGAGCUUGCUCCUGGAUUCAGCGGCGGACGGGUGAGUAAUGCCUAGGAAUCUGCCUGGUAGUGGGGGAUAACGUCCGGAAACGGGCGCUAAUACCGCAUACGUCCUGAGGGAGAAAGUGGGGGAUCUUCGGACCUCACGCUAUCAGAUGAGCCUAGGUCGGAUUAGCUAGUUGGCGGGGUAAAGGCCUACCAAGGCGACGAUCCGUAACUGGUCUGAGAGGAUGAUCAGUCACACUGGAACUGAGACACGGUCCAGACUCCUACGGGAGGCAGCAGUGGGGAAUAUUGGACAAUGGGCGAAAGCCUGAUCCAGCCAUGCCGCGUGUGUGAAGAAGGUCUUCGGAUUGUAAAGCACUUUAAGUUGGGAGGAAGGGCAGUAAGUUAAUACCUUGCUGUUAUGACGUUACCAACAGAAUAAGCACCGGCUAACUUCGUG
rnacentral:rRNA from 1 species